UACGAAGGGGGCUAGCGUUGCUCGGAAUCACUGGGCGUAAAGGGUGCGUAGGCGGGUCUUUAGGUCAGGGGUGAAAUCCUGGAGCUCAACUCCAGAACUGCCUUUGAUACUGAAGAUCUUGAGUUCGGGAGAGGUGAGUGGAACUGCGAGUGUAGAGGUGAAAUUCGUAGAUAUUCGCAAGAACACCAGUGGCGAAGGCGGCUCACUGGCCCGAUACUGACACUGAGGAGCGAAAGCGUGGGGAGCGAACAGG
rnacentral:rRNA from 1 species